GGUUGUAAAGUUAUUCAAGAUAACUGCAAACGGUAGUGCCCAAAUCGGAAGAAUUUUGUCUGACAUCUUUACUACGUAAACAUUAAAAGGCCUUGAUAUACCAUAGGGCGCCCAAUGGAGAAAUUGGGGUUCAUUAACAAUUCAAACUAAUUGAUUCUAACAGCUUCAUCUCCACUGAGUGACAUGGACGAUGAAGAAUAUAUUGUUGGGAAAUUCUCGGUCUGAGGAGAAGCAUGGUGAAGUGGGGUAUUUGCUGAUAGGUUAUUGGUGUUUCAAACAACGGAAAUAUUUGGGAGCCCAAGAAAAUCUUUAUUGUAAUAAUUUCAUUGCAGUUUGCAGCUUUCAAAAGCAAAUUUCUACAGUUGAAUGAAAAUCCUGAAAACAAGCUAAGCCAAGAGGAAAAUUGUGAAGAAAGAAGAACUUAA